rnacentral:rRNA from 1 species
AAGCUCGUAGUUGAAUUUCGGAAUGUCGCCGGUCAAAGCUCGUCCUUGUGGCGUGGCUGGAUUGGUGCUUCCUAGCUUCGGAUUGGCCAGCAAUGGUCUCCGAUCAUUUACUUUGAAAAAAUUGAGUGUUCAAAGCAGGCGUAACCUUGCCAUUGAAUAUUACAGCAUGGGAUAAUAGAAUAUGACGUUGGUCUUAUUUUGUUGGUUUCUAAGGCUGAUGUAAUGAUUAAUAGGGAUAGUUGGG